AGAGUUUGAUCAUGGCUCAGGACGAACGCUGGCGGCGUGCCUAACACAUGCAAGUCGAACGGACGAGGCCCCUUCGGGGACCGAGUUAGUGGCGGACGGGUGAGUAACGCGUGAGCAACCUGCCUUUCAGAGGGGGACAACAGUUGGAAACGACUGCUAAUACCGCAUGAUGCAGCGAGAUCGCAUGGUCUUGCUGUCAAAGAUUUAUCGCUGAAAGAUGGGCUCGCGUCUGAUUAGCUAGUUGGAGGGGUAACGGCCCACCAAGGCGACGAUCAGUAGCCGGACUGAGAGGUUGAACGGCCACAUUGGGACUGAGAUACGGCCCAGACUCCUACGGGAGGCAGCAGUGGGGAAUAUUGGGCAAUGGGGGAAACCCUGACCCAGCAACGCCGCGUGAAGGAAGAAGGCUUUCGGGUUGUAAACUUCUUUUACCAGGGACGAAGAACGUGACGGUACCUGGAGAAAAAGCCACGGCUAACUACGUGCCAGCAGCCGCGGUAAUACGUAGGUGGCAAGCGUUGUCCGGAUUUACUGGGUGUAAAGGGCGUGUAGGCGGAGCUGCAAGUCAGAUGUGAAAUCUGGGGGCUUAACCCUCAAACUGCAUUUGAAACUGUAGCCCUUGAGUAUCGGAGAGGCAGGCGGAAUUCCUAGUGUAGCGGUGAAAUGCGUAGAUAUUAGGAAGAACACCAGUGGCGAAGGCGGCCUGCUGGACGACAACUGACGCUGAGGCGCGAAAGCGUGGGGAGCAAACAGGAUUAGAUACCCUGGUAGUCACGCUGUAAACGAUGAAUACUAGGUGUGGGGGGACUGACCCCCUCCGUGCCGGAGUUAACACAAUAAGUAUUCCACCUGGGGAGUACGACCGCAAGGUUGAAACUCAAAGGAAUUGACGGGGGCCCGCACAAGCAGUGGAUUAUGUGGUUUAAUUCGACGCAACGCGAAGAACCUUACCGGGAUUUGACAUCCUACUAACGAAGCAGAGAUGCAUUAGGUGCCCUUCGGGGAAAGUAGAGACAGGUGGUGCAUGGUUGUCGUCAGCUCGUGUCGUGAGAUGUUGGGUUAAGUCCCGCAACGAGCGCAACCCCUAUUGUUAGUUGCUACGCAAGAGCACUCUAGCGAGACUGCCGUUGACAAAACGGAGGAAGGCGGGGACGACGUCAAAUCAUCAUGCCCCUUAUGUCCCGGGCUACACACGUAAUACAAUGGCGGUCAACAAAGGGAAGCAAAGCCGCGAGGCAGAGCAAACCCCCAAAAGCCGUCUCAGUUCGGAUUGCAGGCUGCAACUCGCCUGCAUGAAGCUGGAAUUGCUAGUAAUCGUGGAUCAGAAUGCCACGGUGAAUACGUUCCCGGGCCUUGUACACACCGCCCGUCACACCAUGAGAGUCGGGAACACCCGAAGUCCGUAGUCUAACCCGCAAGGGAGGGCGCGGCCGAAGGUGGGUCUGAUAAUUGGGGUGAAGUCGUAACAAGGUA
rnacentral:rRNA from 1 species